ensembl:ncRNA F46E10.16 ncRNA
AAAAAGGUCUGAAAAUCCGAGCACAGCAGAGAACAGCUCUCUCGGUUGAACAAAAACGUAAAUGAAUGAAUGUAUCUUGUAAUGUGGGGUCGUUAUACAUAUUUAUGGCUGCGGGUCAAUGACCACAAUCUAUCAUA